rnacentral:rRNA from 1 species
AUUGAACGCUGGCGGCAGGCCUAACACAUGCAAGUCGAGCGGAUGAAGGGAGCUUGCUCCUGGAUUCAGCGGCGGACGGGUGUGUAAUGCCUAGGAAUCUGCCUGGUAGUGGGGGAUAACGUCCGGAAACGGGCGCUAAUACCGCAUACGUCCUGAGGGAGAAAGUGGGGGAUCUUCGGACCUCACGCUAUCAGAUGAGCCUAGGUCGGAUUAGCUAGUUGGUGGGGUAAAGGCCUACCAAGGCGACGAUCCGUAACUGGUCUGAGAGGAUGAUCAGUCACACUGGAACUGAGACACGGUCCAGACUCCUACGGGAGGCAGCAGUGGGGAAUAUUGGACAAUGGGCGAAGGCCUGAUCCAGCCAUGCCGCGUGUGUGAAGAAGGUCUUCGGAUUGUAAAGCACUUUAAGUUGGGAGGAAGGGCAGUAAGUUAAUACCUUGCUAUUUUGACGUUACCAACAGAAUAAGCACCGGCUAACUUCGUG